CAUGAAUUUCAAUUUUGGGUUCAUACCCAUUUAUUACUAGUUGAAUAUUAUGAUUUUUAAGUGUUCUUGAUGUUGAAAUACAUGUCUAUUUUCGUAAAUUAAUGCUUAUGACUAUAAUUUUCAGAUUUUGAGUUGAAUUGUGAGUAUUUAUAUUAUCAAGCAUGAACAUUACAAUGUUUUGAGGUGAAUUGAAAGCAUGAGUUAUUAAGCCCUAAUUGAUUAUGGUUAUUUCAAGUAUGAUUAUGCUUUUGAGUAUCCCAUGACAUGAUUUUAGACAGCUUUGCACAAAGAUUUGAUCUUUUGAUCUUUAGCUAAGACAUGGAAUCCACUUUACAGCUUAAACUCAGUUUUGAAUGAACAGAUACAUAGUUAGCUUUCAGUAUGAAAUAUUAUGACUUUUAAAAGUGGAUUUUUCCUACAGUAUGAGCAUAUAAUUAAGGGAGUAGUAUUUAGCACCGAGCGAAAAGUGUGAGAUUAGCGUGUCCUAUCUUCCACAAAACUACAUGCCACUGUAGGAUUAAGAUUAUUUCCACUUCUACGUGGAUGACUCAGAUGUGAUCACUUAGCUCAGGUUAUACUCCCUGGCAAGAGUAUGACACCUCUCCCCAACGUGAGGUUUCUUCCUUAGAAGGACGAGACAUUGGACUCCAUGAUAGCUCGCUCGCAUGAUUUAUGUCGGUUAAGAGAACCUCCCUUACAGAUAAGCUUUUGAAAAAGAAUUUUUCUUGCAGAACAGUCUUUAAGUAUUUUCCCUGUAUGAUGUUUUGCCAUACAUGUAUAUGAGUUCGAUAUAUUGAUAUUCAAUUAUAUAAAUAGUAUUUGAUUUGGUAUUUUGAUCCUUUGAAUGAGUAUUGGAAUCCACUUUGCACCUUUAAUUAUGAUAAAUGCAUAACUAAUUUCAUAGUAAACCCUUAUGUGAGUUUUAAUAUGGAUUUUCAUGAGAUGAGCAUAGACAAUUAAAGAGAGUAGUAUUUAACACCGAGUUUGGUAUGAUUCCAAGGGCUUAUACCCCAAAACUACGUUCCACCAUAGGAUUGAGAAUUUAAGUGCCACGUUAAACUCUUUGGCAAGAGUAUUACACCUUUGCCUAAUGUGAGGUUUCUUCCUUAGGAGGAUGAGAUAUUGGACUCCAUGUAGCUCGCUUGGUUUAUGUCGGUUAAGAGAAACUCCUUUGUAGAAUGGUCUUUAAAGUAUUUUACCUACAGCUUAAUAGUAAAGAUUUUCAGAUUAGUUUCUAAAAGUAUUUUCCCUAAUAGUAAAGGCUUUCAGAAAAGAUUAAUACAAACAACUUUUAGAAAACUAAGGAUAAAGGCUCACGAAUUUAUUUAGAUUAUGUCUUACAGAAAGAUAUCAGCUUUCACAUUUCAGAUUUAAAGAGUGAGUCCUUUCUACACUUAGACAGUAUGAUUUAAAGAAAGAAUUCAAGUACAUCUUUUAGAAUUGGAUGUUAUGGCUCACAAGAUUUAUAAAGUAUGAAUUGCUCUUAUUGCUUCAGAUUUCAGUAUUUUAGACAUUCUAGCUUAUGUGAGUCAUUUACAUUUAGCAUGCAUUGUUUCACAAAUUAUGAUGAUGAGAUGAUGUUUUACUUAUGCAUUUCACCCCCUUAUACUCAAUACAUCCUCA
rnacentral:lncRNA from 1 species